UAUUGCUCUUUAACGAGGAAUCCCUAGUAAGUACAAGUCACUAGCUUGUGCUGAUUACGUCCCUGCCCUUUGUACACACCGCCCGUCGCUACUACCGAUUGAAUGGCUUAGUGAGGCCCUCGGAUUGAGGCUCGGAGACUGGCAACAGACUCUUGGUUUUGAAAAGUUGGUCAGACUUGGUCAUUUAGAGGAAGUAAAAGUCGUAACAAGGUUUCCGUAGGUGAACCUGCGGAAGGAUCAUUACCAAUUUUUAGCGGACCUGAUCUUUGAUCAUGGUCUCGCGAAAACUUGUAUUUAAAACCCCACUCUUAUAAAUUGAAUCAUUUUAUACUAUGUAUAUAAUAAAAUAAAGAUCACUUUCAACAACGGAUCUCUUGGCUCUCGCAUCGAUGAAGAACGUAGCGAAGUGCGAUAAGUAAUGUGAAUUGCAGAAUUCCGUGAAUCAUCGAAUCUUUGAACGCAAAUUGCACUCUCUGGCAACCCGGGGAGUAUGCCUGUUUGAGGGUCAGUAUUAAUAAAAAUCGGUGCGUUGCAAAUUUUUUGUGACGUUUCCGGAGUUUGAGUUAUCUUAACUUCGGUUUUAAGAGGCUUAAAAUUGACCUUUUUUUGUGCAUUUUAGACGUACAUAAAUCUUUUCUUAUUCGUCUAUCCUAAUGCCAAAAUCUAUUAGAUGCGACCAUAUCUUGUGGUUCCGUGUCUAUAAUUUUUUUCAUGAUUUGACCUCAAAUCAGGUAGGGAUACCCGCUGAACUUAAGCCAUAUCAAUAAGCGGAGGAAAAGAAAAAUAACAAUGAUUCCCCUAGUAACUGCCGAGUGAAGAAGGGACAAGCUCAAAUUUUAAAUCUGUCGGGCUUUACCUGAAUCGAGUUGUAAUUGAAAAAGCGUUUUUCUUGCGUAUUUGGUCAGCCCAAAGGUCCCUAUUUGGAUGAGCAUCAUGGAAGGGUGAUAAUCCGGUCCGAUUGGAUCAUUGGCCGCCUCUACGAAUACGGCUUACCAGAGUUCAGUUGUUGCGAUGCAGCUUGAAUGCCAGCUUAAUUUUCCU
rnacentral:rRNA from 1 species